rnacentral:rRNA from 1 species
UAAGCAAAGCAUGAAAUCAUGAGGCUCAACCUCAUGACUGUGCUUUGAACUAGUGAACUUGAGCAUGAUAGAGGUAACUGGAAUUCCUUGUGUAGGAGUGAAAUCCGUAGAUAUAAGGAGGAACACCAAUGGCGAAGGCAGGUUACUGGAUCAUUGCUGACACUAAGGCUCGAAAGCGUGGGGAGCGAACGGGAUUAGAUACCCCGGUAGUCCACGCCGUAAACGAUGGAUACUA